UUUAAGUGUUUUUAUGGUGCUGAAAAUGGAUCGAAGAUGGUAAUAUUUUUGAAGGAAGUGUGGUGAGUUUUCUAUAGAGAUUCGAUGGCUUCAAAGCUUGGUUGAUGAGUGGAGAAGCAUUCCCUAUUUAUAGUGAGGGUUAUGGAGUGAUUAGGUUAGAAUUCUGGUGUGGAAAUCUCUGAAAUGGUUGAGCCCGAAAAAUGACAAAAUUGCAAACUUGUUAGCUAAGUGUGCUCUCUCUUUCCUC
rnacentral:lncRNA from 1 species